rnacentral:lncRNA from 1 species
AGAGGCAGAAACCCUGUGAGGAGGUGGACGGACCUAGCCGCCGCACCGGGCUCCCUGUCGCCGGCCCGGGCUCCCUGUCGCCGGCCCGGGCUCCCUGUCGCCGGCCCUGGCCCCACGGCCACCCCAGCUCUUCCACCUGGCUCAAGGAUAUGUCCCAGCGAUUGUCCCAGAAGGAGAAAAAUGCCCAUUGAACCAAAUACUUCUCUCUUUCUUACAAAAUACGAGCAUCAGAGUGUUUAUCAUAGGACACUGCAUCCAGUGACAGAGAACUCCUUGCAGAAUGAGAAGAUAAGGAGACAGAUUUCCAGGUGACCAGGAUGGUGGCCUUCGAAAGUGCAAGAACAAAGUGGGCAGACAACAGGCAGCUUCCUCCUUCUGAGGCACGAGUGCAUGAAUUGCCUUCCCCCAGCACGAAGCUGAAUUAAAAUAUUCCUAGCAGAUAGUUCGGAUUGAUAAUCACCUCUACUGUGUUACUCUGGACAUGUCCACACAGCUGACUGGGAAAUAGAAGGGGAUGCUAACAGCUGCUCCAGCAGACAGGUAUUUCAGGGUCAAAGGCCAGCAGAGCUGUGCAUAUUCAGGAUUUUUACUGCCAGUGAAGGAGAUGGGUACUUUCUCAAAACUAAUAAUAAAAAUAGCAACAACAGUGAGAAGAAGAAGGAGCUGACAACAGAAAUGAAAAGGAACCUGCAAGAAGUGAAUUCUGGGUAGCACAACACUUGCAGAGCUGAUUUUAAUGUCUGACAGGUUGAGUUCACUAAUCUUUGCUAUUCAUAUUGACGUGAAACUUCAUACUGUUUUAGAGAUUUGUAUCUAUUAAGACAUGCAGCAGUGUUCCUACAACAUGGGAACAAGUUUGCUAGCACCUGCCGUUCUUCUUCCUCCGUGAUAAAAAUUGAUAUGAACUGUACUAAAUGCCUAACAGAUAAUUACUCUCAACACUCAAUAACAAAAGCUACAUCUUUAGAGCCUCCUUUAUCUUUAAAAAAUAACAAAAAAGCCCAAGCCCAAAACUCACUAACAAGACAAAACCUUUUUCCUCCCAUUUUCCUCCCUCUCUUUCGUUUCUUUGAUUACUUGGAGAUUUGUAAGCAAACUAAGUUUAGUUUCGGGACCCUUGGGGCAGUAUCUCUUAGUUCCCUGUCAGGCUGAGUUGCAAAAUAAUCAAACCUGCUCUUGUGUUGGCUUGGUGGAAGUGUCAGGACAUGAGGAGUGCAAUGCUUUGCUCUUGCUGUGAAGCUUCGAUGACAAAAGUUUUAUCAGAAGCUGACUGUAUUUAGGAUUAUGAAUAUGCAAUGACUCUCAUUAGUAUUGAAGCACAGGAGCAUGGGCUGACAUCCCCCGCCACUUUUAGCUGCUGCAGAGUUGCCUAAUGAAUUGUCUUGCUCUUUCACUUGCACAGACUUUGCUGUUAUGGUUCCCCACUCCAAGGGGAGUUGCCCGGUUUGAGAAUACUAUUGACUGCAGAAAUUAAUUGCCAAGAACUGCUCUUGAUUUUGUUAAACAGUGUUUAAAUGGUGUUUAAAUUGCUGAAACAGAAAACCAUUUAACUCUACAGGAGACAAAGUCAUCACAGGUGAGAGGACCUGCGUGUCCAUAUGCAUAGCCAUGCACAAGCAUACAGGUGUGGUGCAGGUAUGCAUACGGUCUUGUAAUCAUACCUAUACAAAUAAACAUAUCUAUGUGUAGCAGUGACGGACAUCAGAAACCUGACAUCCUGCUGAUUUAUCUAUUAUUCUUCCAACUAGAACAAAUGGGAUAAUGGAAAGUUCUCCAAAUGAGUGGGACUCCAAUACAUUUCUAUUUAAUCAACCAGUUAAUACUCUUUUUUUUUCUUCUGGGACCCUGCCAAACACUUUUCAGCUCACACAUCUGCAAUCUUUAUGAAUAAGUUUCUGACAAGGAUGUUUCCAACAAAUGAUUAAGAUAUCUGGCUUGAUUUGUCAUAUUUGAGAUGCAUAAGCUUUCAAAAACAAGUAGAAAUGACCCUUUUUUUCCCCAAAUGGUUCAAUUAAGUACUUUUUUCCUGAUUCAUCUGAAAUUUCUUCUGGCAUAAAAGGAGCUUUUGUGGCUCUCUGCAGAGAGUGAAGGAUAGAGGGAAUUGAAAUGGAUAAUGUAUUCCAAGAAGCGUAAGUAGUAUUCUGAAAGGUGUGCAAAUAAUAAAGGAUAUGAGAUUCUUCCAAGAAGAUGUCAGGCCUGCAAGACUCUUUAUCCAUUUAAUCAGUAAUGGAAAUGAUCCCAGUGCGAGAAGGAAGAUCUGUUUAAUUUUUAUUGUGAUUUUGGCACUGUUGCUCUAACACGAGCUUGGCUUACCUCUUGACCCAACCCCAGGAGUGUCUGUUCUCAUCAGCUGCAGAAAAAAUAAAGAACAUCUACAUGUUGGGAGUAUCAAAUACAAGAGCAGUUUAAAAUAAAUGCAGUUCUGACAAAAGUGGCUCAAGUAUCAUACAUCAAACACUUGUUACCUCUCUUGGCCUUAGUGAUUGCAUGUGACUAAGAAAGAGUGAGUGAUAAAAUCUGAAGAAAGAUGAAACCAAUCCGGGGCUUUUUAAAGCUCAUCAAUCAUUCUGUGCAGCCAUGGCAUUAUUAGUUCCAGUAAGCCUUGUUCUCCCAUUUUAUGGACAUCAUAAACCCCCCACCUCUAGACCAAUGCUACCUUGGGAAAUCAUUUUCAUAGGCAGCAUCUUAGUGUGGGCCAAUCAGAUCUAAUCACAUAACAAGCUACUGAAUUAUUCAACGUUCUUCCUAAUUUUGCAUUCUUCCUGCACUUUGCUGUCACUGCAGGGUUUUAAAAGUAUGUGUUUUUACAAUAUUUAUUAAGAAUAUAACCAUACACAGGAAUUUUGUUUUCUCUAUGUCUUUCAAUAAUCGUUUGUUCCCUUAGAUUGUUGCAGUAUAUACAUUACUAUAUAGAGAAUACUUAAAAAAACAAAAAGAAAAAGAAACCCACAAUGUGGCACUUGGCUUUAAACUCUUUCAGCUUUUAAAAGAUCUAAUGUAAAGACAACAAUUGUGAAACAAUUGAGUUCAAACAUAAAACAUUCAGAUUUACUGAGCAAACUGUAACCAGCAUGUCUCUUAGCUGCUGCUAUGAAUACAGGGCUCACAUUGUAUAUGAAAAUAUUUCAGUUUUAAUUGCAAAUCUGUGCAGAGAUGAUUUGGGGUCUGUAAUUAGCACACAAAUUCCAGACUUUGUGACUGCUGUGAAAACACACAUUAUUUAUGGAACUAUUAUCUAAAUAUAAUUCAGUGUUUUUUGCUUUCAACAACUACUAUAAAAGUCUGAUUUAAUAAAAUGUGAAAAA